GAUGAACGCUGGCGGCGUGCCUAAUACAUGCAAGUCGAGCGCACGGACGGGAAGCUUGUGCUCUUGAGGUUAGCGGCGGACGGGUGAGUAACGCGUGGAUAACCUACCUAUUAGACUGGGACAACAUCGGGAAACCAGUGCUAAUACCGCAUAAUAUUUUGAACCGCAUGGUUCAAGAGUGAAAGACGCUCUUGCCGUACCUAAUAGAUGGUUCCGGGUUGCAUAAGCGGGUUGGUAAGGUAACGCCCUACCAAGGCAACGUAGCAUGGCCGACCGGAGAGGUGGAUCGGCCACACGGGAACGGGAAAACGGUCCAGACUCCUAGGGGAGGAAGCGUUGGGGAAUUUUGGGCAAGGGGGGAAAGCUGGACGGAGCAAGACCGCGGGGGUGAUGAAGGUCUUCGGUUGGUAAAACCCUUUUGUUGGGAAAGAAGAUAGGGAGAGUGAAAUGCGCAUAUCGUGACGGUACCUAAACAGAAAGCAACGGCUAACUACGUG
rnacentral:rRNA from 1 species